rnacentral:lncRNA from 1 species
GAUCAGAGUAGUCAAGUCUUUCACAGUUGAUCAUCAUUAUAACAUUUCUCUUACAGUGCACAAUGAUCUCACAGUUCUUCUCAUUUCACUUUACAUUAGUUUAUGUAAGUGUUGCCAGAGCGGAGGGAUUAUUUAGAGGGAAGCACAUUGCCAGAAUUUAGGGACUUCCCUCUCUCCCUUAGAGAUCAUCAGAAAAGUCCAAUGUCUGAUGUGGUCAUAGAUCUAGAGCCAGAAGGAUCUCAGAAUCCUAGUCAAGCGCCCUCCCUUUACAGAUAAGGAGACCAAACCCAGGGAAGCUAUGAUCUACCCAAGAUAACAGGUAGUGUCAGAUGUGGGAUCUGAACCCAUGUUCUCCAACUGUAUUCCCAAGACUCUUUCCACUGAUGAGCCAUGUUGACCUAGAAAUUAGUUAAGGGGUGUUAUAAUCGAGGAAUUGUCAGUGUGGUUAAUAUAAAGAGAAGAGAAAGCAGGUCUGAAUUUUCAGAUGGAAUAUGAUGGGUAGAGUUGGUUACAAUCUCUAUUGGUAUGUAAUGGAGUAUGGAAAUAAGAAAACACUGAGGUACAAAGGUUGGGGGUGUCCUCUUUCCUAGGCAACUGUGCUGAAGGUCACUGGUGCAAGGAAGGCUCCUCUAUGAAGAAUCCUACAGAUGGGGUGCUGGGCCUUCUCUGUCCCCCAGGGCACUAUUGUCUCACAGGAACCCCCAGGCCAACUCCAUGCCCACCAGGUACAUGGUCCAAGGAAGGGAACAAGAACAUAGAUGGGUGCCAAGCCUGCACUGGGAGCCAUUUUUGUAACAACAGCAGCCCACCAGCUCUCACCAGACCCAAUACCUUUAAGUUUCAUUGCACUGAGGAGGCUACCCUGGCUUCCCCCACAGAUGAGGAGCCUUGCUACAUUGGAUACUUCUGUCCCCAGGGAAUGAAGCACCCCACCUCUUGCCCCCUUGGCUCCUACCUGCCCUUUAAAAAUCCAGCAGAAUGUCACAUGUGUCCCAGUGGUCAAUACUGUGUCCCAGGGCAGAAGCCACAGCUCUGCCCACAAGGUUUCUACUGCCCUGAAGGGACAGGAGUAGACUGGCAGCCAUGCCCUGCUGGCACGUAUGGUCCCAUGCCUGGUUUAAGCAGUCUGAAGGAGUGCCAAGCCUGCGACAAGGGCAGGUAUUGCCUGAAGGCCAAUGCCACAGAUGUGAGCGGAGAGUGCUGGGCAGGUUACUUCUGCCCAGGAGGAUCAAGGUGGCCAAACCCAGAACCUGGGACGGAAGGUACUAAAGGCUUUCUUCUAGCAGACAAGUCACCUUGGCCUCUGGGUGGAGAAAGAGCCCCAACUAAACUACAGCACAGAGAGCCAGUGAACUUGUUCUAUUCAAAGCAUCUGCAUCUCAGCCAUCCCUCCAUGUCCCCAGACUGUUCACUGAGUGGAUCCCCUGAUAAGCCAGAGCCUUCCUAGAGGAGUAUUCUUCUCCUGGCUCCUUUGAGCUGGGCAAAGUUUUUGUUUCUAUUUUGUGUCACCAUUCCCCUUCCCACCCAACUCUUUCUCUCCACCCAGUUUUGAAAACAAAAUAUAAGAAAGACAAAACCUCAAGAGAAUGAGAAGGAUUCUAUCCCUAGAUUCUAUUCCAGUUUCUGUAACUGGCUUUAGCCAAGCC